CUGGCUGUUUGUUAGCAACAUCCUUGAGAAAUGCAGCGUGGUUUUAUCUACGAGUCCUUUAUACAAAGGGCUGCGCUUUGCUCCAGAUUUCCAUGACUGCAAACCAAACAUCACCAUCAGUCUGUGAUCACGGUUUUGAAGAUAAAUGAUAAUAUUUUUUUCCCUCUCAUUCCUUUUUCCUUAUUUUUGGAUAAAUGCUGGUUUCUCACAGCGCGUGUCUCAUUUUGAAUGCAGAUGCUGCUUGAGGUGUUAAAAUUGCUCUUGAGAGGAGCUGAUAAAUCAGUGAACACCCACUAAAUGACCAUCGCUCUUUUACCAGGCACCAUGACAGAGCUCCAUGAAGCCGUGGCUUUGGGGGACUACGACCUGGUGGAUGAGAUUUUGAGGACAGGGCGCUGCGACCCAAAUCACAAGGAUGUCGACUGGCAUGACAGGACCCCGCUGCACUGGGCUGCUGCAAAAGGGCAAUCGGAGCUGGUCAAGCUCCUCGUGGAUCACGGCGCCCGGCACUGCCUGCGGAGCGACGUGGGCUGGACCGCGGCUCACUUCGCGGCCGAGUCGGGGAGACUGGGGGUGCUCCGCACCCUUCAUUCCCUGCACGCUGCCAUGGACGCGGCCGACCUCUUUGGCGACACUCCCAAGAGGCUUGCGGAAAUCUACGGUCACCGAGACUGCUCCAGGUUCUUAGAAAUAGCAGAGGUGGAGAGCAGAAACUAUCGCAGGACAGCUGCAGUGAAAGGAAUCCCCUUAGACCAGAGAGAUGAAGACUGGGAACUCAAGAAAGAAGAGCUUGAGAGAAACCCACCAUGUUCCUGGGAGAGCUAUGCAUCCUCCGCUCCAAAGAAAAAUCGAAAAAAAAGGGGGAAGCAGGAGCGUGCCCUGCCUAUUUGGUGCCACCGACAACUCGCAAUGCAGAGCAAAGACACUGGCUGACCUCAGAUGCAUCUGCAGGGUGAAAUACGGAUGAGCAGGAGAAGCAGAUGGCCACAAGAACGCAUCUUUGUGAUAUUUCCAGGGACUAAUUCAGCUGUCUACACAGAGGUGUCUAAUGCCACUUGAGAUGUUCUCAAGUACCCAGGCUGACCCUGCAGGUCUCCAGAAGAUCCUGUGCUGUAGCUCCCAACCCCGUGCCGAUGUCUCAGAUACCCUAGGACUUCUCAGAUGACUUGAGAUGCCUACGUUUGGGCAAACAAGUGGAGCUCCAGCUUUGCCUUGUGUCAUUUGCACUUUCCAAGCCAUGUGAAAUGUCAACUCCAUCCAUAGCCUGGCUCUUGAAGUAGUGACAGUGCAAGUGGAGACAUACAUGGGACAGAGCGCCUAUUGCGGUGCUGAUAAACUAAACAGACCUGUUUCUAGCCCUGAGGCCAGCUGCUGGAGUGUCCUCUAGUUGAGGAACAGUUUCCUCCGGGCUGGGCACACCAUCCCAUCUCCCCAGAGAGCAACUUUAGCAUACGGGCUGUGCACUGUGGCCGUGGUGUUUUAUAACUUGUCUCCUCCGAUGCCAGCUGGAUGGGGCUGGUGCAUGGGAGGGGUGAUGCUGUGUUGGGCACCACGUUCACAGGGAUUUUGUGGAGAUGGAAGAAGGUGUCUUCAGCAUGGUUUGCUGGGGCUGCAUUCUUUUGUGUGAGAAUAUCUGCAAGAUGUUGGGUUUGCCUGCUGAGUCUUGUGGUAUGUGACUUUUGAGGGAUGAUGUCGCAUGGGAUGUAGGGAGUAAGAAGGAUUUUCCGUGGUCUUUUUGUGAAAGCGAUUGGGACUGUCAUGCUAAAGGAUCAACUGCAUUGAGCAAAAGCAGGGAAAGAAGGGAGGUGUGGUGGUGCCGGUCCUUUAAAGGCCUUUCAGCUGUGGACGUAUGUCCAGAUGAGAUGUUUAAGAUCUGCCUCCCUUGGGAAAUGUGGGUGGCGAGGAGUGUCUCCUAUUGUGGAAGUGGAGUUUGGCAUCUGAUCUGAAUUGCAGCUAAAGGCAAAGGGCUCUGAGCGUCUAGUUUUGAUCAGAUGACUCAAACCCUUUCUUUUUAGGGGAACAACAUUUAUGUAAUUUUUUUGCUUUACUACUUCAGGAAAAGCCAGAAAAGAACGAAAGCUAAUGGUUUGAAAACACUUUCUUAUACUUUCUUAUUAACCUCUUCCUCUUUCGUUUUUGUGGGGAUGGAGAGGAAAAGGGAAGGGAGUGCUCUUUUGCCCACAGAAAAGGCAACCCUUAAAAUACAAAGCUUACAAACUAAGCUUUUUCACCUUCACUUCAACUUUUCAAAUUAGCAUCCCAGGGCCACUCCUGUUCUCUGAGCAGAAACUCUUCCUCUGGGUUGAUUUCUAAUAGAGAGUACAUAGAAAUUAGUGAGUCCUUCACACUGUUGUCCUACAAGAUGACUGCCUCUCCUUUAUAGGGGAAAAAGAAGGUCUGAGAAGCCUUCUGCUAGUAGAAAUACCUUAAAGGUUGUUCUCAAAAAGGUGGCAGAGAGAAAGCUCGACAGCUUCUUAUAGACUGAAUCCAUGUCCAGCAAGGUUGAUGCUACACUUGAGAUGACUCCCUGGAAAGAAUUUUGAAUAUAUCUGAAUUCUGCGGAGCUUCAAGAGGCCUCUGAGGUUUGGGCCCCACACCUGGUGAAUGUAC